rnacentral:rRNA from 1 species
CCCUUGGAUGUUCUGGGCCGCACGCGCGCUACACUGAUGCAUUCAACGAGUCUAAAACCUGCUCUGAUAGGGGUGGGCAAUCUUUUGAAUGUGCAUCGUGAUUGGGAUAGAUGAUUGCAAUUUUUCAUCUUCAACGAGGAAUGCCUAGUAAACGCAAGUCAUCAGCUUGCAUUGAUUACGUCCCUGCCCUUUGUACACACCGCCCGUCGCUCCUACCGAUUGAAUGAUCCGAUGAAUAUCAUAGACUGAGAGUAUAAGCAGGUUCGCCUGUCUUUGCUUCUCGGGAAGUGAAGUAAAUCUUAUCAUUUAGAGGAAGGAGAAGUCGUAACA